rnacentral:piRNA from 1 species
UGUCCAGUGCUUUCCUGUGGCCUAUCCUUCC